rnacentral:rRNA from 1 species
UACGGAGGGUGCGAGCGUUGUCCGGAAUCACUGGGCGUAAAGGGCGCGUAGGCGGCCUGGCAAGUCGAUGGUGAAAGCCCGUGGCUCAACUACGGGUCGGCCAUUGAUACUGCUAGGCUCGAGUCGACUAGAGGCAGAUGGAAUUCCGGGUGUAGCGGUGGAAUGCGUAGAGAUCCGGAAGAACACCGGUGGCGAAGGCGGUGGUCUGGGCCGUUACUGACGCUGAGGAGCGAAAGCCAGGGGAGCGAACGGG